rnacentral:rRNA from 1 species
AAACCAACAGGGAUUGCCUUAGUAGCGGCGAGUGAAGCGGCAAAAGCUCAAAUUUGAAAUCUGGCACUUUCAGUGUCCGAGUUGUAAUUUGAAGAAGGUAUCUUUGGGUCUGGCUCUUGUCUAUGUUUCUUGGAACAGAACGUCACAGAGGGUGAGAAUCCCGUGCGAUGAGAUGACCCAGACCUAUGUAAAGUUCCUUCGAAGAGUCGAGUUGUUUGGGAAUGCAGCUCUAAGUGGGUGGUAAAUUCCAUCUAAAGCUAAAUAUUGGCGAGAGACCGAUAGCGAACAAGUACAGUGAUGGAAAGAUGAAAAGAACUUUGAAAAGAGAGUGAAAAAGUACGUGAAAUUGUUGAAAGGGAAGGGCUUGAGAUCAGACUUGGUAUUUUGUAUGUUACUCUUUCGGGGGUGGCCUCUACAGUUUACCGGGCCAGCAUCAGUUUGGGCGGUAGGAGAAUUGCAAAGAAAUGUGGCACUGCUUCGGUAGUGUGUUAUAGUCUUUGUCGAUACUGCCAGCCUAGACUGAGGACUGCGGCU